rnacentral:rRNA from 1 species
UAACGAAUCUUCCGCAAUGCACGAAAGUGUGACGGAGCGACGCCGCGUGUAGGACGAAGCCCUUCGGGGUGUAAACUACUGUCAGGGGUUAGAAAGUUCUGAUCAACCCCAGAGGAAGAGACGGCUAACUCUGUGCCAGCAGCCGCGGUAAGACAGAGGUCCCGAGCGUUAGGCGGAAUCACUGGGCUUAAAGCGUGUGUAGGCGGAUCGUUAAGUGCCUUGUGAAAUCCCACGGCUUAACCGUGGAACUGCUCGACAUACUGGCGAUCUUGAGCAACCUAGGGGCAACCGGAACAAAUGGUGGAGCGGUGAAAUGCGUAGAUAUCAUUUGGAACGCCAAUGGUGAAAACAGCUUGCUGGGGGUGUGCUGACGCUGAGACACGAAAGCCAGGGGAGCGAACGGGAUUAGAUACCCCCGUAGUCC